UCGAUGUGGCAUGUUAUUUAGAGAAUUGUCCAGAUUUGUAUUGGAAAGAUGCAUCUGCAGCCACAAGGGUCUGACAGACUCCAUUUACCCCACAUGGAAACCAGAGCUACGUACAUAGAGCUUGCUCAACAAAAGGGAAAAUGCAGUUGUAAAUACAUUUCUGGUGGUAUAUUCAAGGUCAGAAUCUCACUAUUGUAUUGUUGGAUAUGUUGAAUAUGACGUGGAGGCUGCUCUAGACUCCUGGUUAAGAGAUCU